AUCCGCCCCUUUCUUACGCAAGAUGCGACCAAAGAGCUUGUCCAUGCUCUAGUAAUUUCCCGCAUGGAUUACUGUAACCCUCUCCUGAUUGGUCUCCCCAAAAGCCGUAUUGCCCCGCUACAGUCUGUAAUGAAUGCUGCAGUUAGACGGAUUUUCCUCUCUAGUCGGUCCUCUCACACAUCACCCCUCUGCCAGUCCCUACAUUGGCUCUUUGUAUCCUAUAGGAGUCAAUUCAAAGUGCUAACCCAUACAUUUAAAGCACUGAACAAUUCUAGCCCCUCAUAUCUCUUCAAUGAUCCAUAGGUAUGCCCCUCCUCGUUCCCUCCGCUCUGCCCGUGACCACCUCCUGACCGCUGCUCGCACCCGUACAGCCAACUCGCGCUUGCAGGACCUCUCGCGGGUGGCUCCUUUCCUAUGGAAUAGCCUGCCUACCGCCAUCAGACACUUCCCUAGUCUUCAAUCAUUUAAGAAGAGCCUUAAAACCCAUCUCUUCAGGAAAGCUUAUGGCCUCCCAGAGUAACCUCUACCUUACAUACCUGUCUCUUGCUCUCUCCUAUAGGGCACCACUUUACCCUCUCCUCCAGCUCUGCUUCACUCCCACCCUACUUGAUUGAUAUCUCCUGUCUUAACGUGUCUUAUACCCCACCUCCUAUAGACUGUAAGCUCGUUUGAGCAGGGUCCUCUUCAACCUACCGUUCCUGUAAGUUUUCUUGUAAU